AUUGAACGCUGGCGGCAGGCCUAACACAUGCAAGUCGAACGAGUGGCGGACGGGUGAGUAAUGUAUGGGAAACUGCCUGAUGGAGGGGGAUAACUACUGGAAACGGUAGCUAAUACCGCAUACCAUCAGAUGAACCCAGAUGGGAUUAGCUAGUAUGUGGGGUAAAGGCUCACCAAGGCGACGAUCCCUAGCUGGUCUGAGAGGAUGAACAGCCACACUGGGACUGAGAAAAGGCCCAGACUCCUACGGGAGGCAGCAGUGGGGAAUAUUGCACAAUGGGCGCAAGCCGGAGGCAGCCAUGCCGCGUGUAUGAAGAAGGCCUUCGGGUUGUAAAGUACUUUCAGCGGGGAGGCGUUACCCGCAGAAGAAGCACCGGCUAACUCCGUGCCAGCAGCCGCGGUAAUUC
rnacentral:rRNA from 1 species